UUUUGCAACAACCGAUGAUGGUGCGUGUGCAGAGAAUAUUCCAGGAGAUAGGUCAACAGCAAAAAGUUAUAAUGAUGUGCUCUCAUUCAAUAAUCCUAUCUCUAUCGUUUUGUUUAUUUUAAAGUUGGCUUCUACUUCUAGCUAGUUAUAAAUCUUCUGAGCUAGCUAUACUUCAUUAAUUUUGAUUAAAGCAGAAGAAAGAACGUGAUUUUGAUGCCACAACUAGUUUUAUAGUCAGGGAAAACCGCUUAAACGCAUGAUUAAAAAAGUAUUAGGCAUGAAAGUGCUGGCUUCCCAAAAACCAGUACAAAGUUAUGGCUGCUUUUUGGGCUGCUAUAAUGGCAUCUAAGAAGUGCAGUAAUUUACUUCCAUUGGAUGCUUAUUGUGGUGUUGCCACCAGCUCAGAUCACCAUGAUGCUGAGUUGCUACCAGAAAAUGAGAGGGAUACUACCAAAAAAACAUUGAAACGAAAAAGUGAUUUUGAAGAAACAACUUUCAGUAAGAAGCAACAAAAAGAAAAAUCAGUUGAUGCAGAUCAGGAUGAGAGAAGCAAUGGGAUGGCAGAAAAAGAAGAAGACUUAAAAUCUGCUAAAGGAAUCAAAUCAGAAAAAAUUCAAAAGGAGUCUAGGGAACUUGAAGAGGGAGAACUUCCAGAAGAUGCAGAAGUGCCAAGUGCAAACCCAAAUACAUCAGUAAUAACCAAAACUGUGCCAAUCGAUUUUUCUGAAUUUAAUCGAAAACGAAAAGUUGCAUUAUUGUUGUCAUACUGUGGUGCUGGAUAUCAUGGUAUGCAAAAGAAUCCUGAUGUUGAAACAAUUGAAUUGAAGUUAAUGGAAGCUUUGUGUGCAGUUGGUGCAAUAAGCAAAGAUCACAAAUACGAAUUUAUGAGCAAUAACCAAAACCAUGUAUGCUACCAAAGAGCAGCACGAACUGAUAAAGGUGUCUCUGCUGCCAGACAAGUAGUGUCUCUGAAGAUAUUGGCUAAUCAAAACUUCAUCGAAGAUGUAAAUAAAAAUCUCCCACAGGAGAUAAGAGUUUUUGCCUUCCAUAGAGUGACGAAAAGCUUUGAUGCCAAAUGCAGUUGUUCUGGUCGAAGUUACGAGUAUCUGGUUCCAUCAUUUGCAUUUGCACCAGCAAAAGACAUUAUGGAUCCUUCGUAUCGACUUUCAGACUCUCAACUUAAAUUGGUUAAUGAUCUUCUGCAAAAUUAUGUUGGGACACACAACUUUCAUAAUUACACUAGCGGCAAACGCUUUACUGAUAAGAGUGCAGUUAGAUAUAUCACUGGUUUUAAGGCAUGCAAUCCUCUUAUUGUUCGUGGUCAAGAAUUCAUUGCUUUAGAAGUCUCUGGACAAAGUUUUAUGAUUCAUCAGAUUAGAAAAAUGAUUGGUCUGGUGAUUGCUAUCUGUCGAAAUUAUUGUACAGUUGAUGUUUUGAAUCAAAGCUGGAAAGAAUUAAAGUUGGAUAUUCCAAAAGCACCAGGCUUGGGUUUACUUCUCAAUAAAGUUUAUUACAACCAAUAUAACAAGAAAUUUUGUUCAUCGGGCGAAAGAAAUCCUCUCACUUGGGAAGAAGCUGAUGUUUCAUUAUGAAGUCUUGCCAGUCCGCUCAAAAUGUCUUGGGCACGAAAUUGCUUGUAGAUUUUAGAAGCUUCAAACUAAUUCGGGGAACAUCAUAUGAUUCACUGGGAAAAAUGCCACGACCAUGGCUACCGCGCCUAUAAAAGUGAACUACCGUGUAUAGAUGUUUCAUUUUGUGUGCAAAAAUACAACAAAGCAAGUAUAAUCAGAUUUGUUUUAAAAUCUUUAAACGAUGUCAUUCACGUUUCAUGUUUCCUGUUCUUCUGACUCGUAUGACGACUACAUGGCUGGCAUGUGCAUUCUCUCAUACAAAGGUAAAGAAAAUUUCCGCCUGAAUAAUCAUCACAUAAGAAAAGGGUAUAUACUAAUAAAGAAAACAUCAAACAUUGAAGACGUAGAUUGCCAACAGGGUCAAGUUCAUGGAAAGCUAUUCAAGUGGUUUUUCGAUAUGGAACCUUUGGGCUGCUCUGAUGUUAAUGGAUUUGGUUUUGCCAUUGUCGACGGUGUGUGGAAAUAUAAGUCAUGGACGUUGAACGAUAGAAUGUCUGACGGUCAGGUACCAUCUGCCAUACAGAAGUCUAUCAAAAACGCAGUCACAAGCUAUUGGAAAACUGGAAAGCAAAAUUAUCGAGCCUGACAAAACCGAACAAUUUUAGAAUAUUCAUCAAUAAUUCGUGUUAUUAACUUUGCCGAGAUCAGCAGAAAGAAUGAACUCAACAAUAAAUAUAAUUUAAAAUUGUAUUUUUCUUUUAAGUAUAACAUUUGCAUGGACUUAAAAUCAAAUUUGGUGCAUAAAAAUUUCAGUCAACAAA